AUGCCUGACUUUCUGUGUCUCUCUCUGUCUCUCGAUUCCAUUUUCCCUCUAUAUGCCCUUCCAUCUAUCUGUCUCUGUCUGUCCCUUUCUUUCACCUUCCCUCAUCCUGUAGUUCUAUUAAUCUUUCAAUGUCUCGAUCUCACAUUCUGUUUCUGUUUCUAUGUCUUUUUGUUCUAUGUUCCUAUCUAUUUAUCUCUCGAUCUGUCUCUGUUUCUAUGUCUUUUUGUUCUAUGUUCCUAUCUAUUUAUCUCUCGAUCUGUCUGUCUGCCUGCCUGUCUAUCUCUCUUUCUGUGUUUGACUACGUGUCUCUCUAGGUGCUAUCUCUAUAUCCAUCUAUCUGCCCUCCUACCUAUCUCACUACCCAUCUGCCAGUCGGCCUGCCUAUCGGUCUUUCUAUCUGUCUGUCUCUAUCUCUCUGGAUUCUCACGGGAUCAGGGAACAAGUACAAACUUUGGAGUCUCCAAUCUAUUAGCUCCUCCGGAAAUCCAGGCUACACCAGAUACGUCUAGGCCCCAAGUUUGGGGUUUCUUGAUUCCAGGUUGACAAUAGAAAAACCGGGAAGGCCAUGGUCCUUUGAUAUUCCCUCAGACUCGGGAAUGGCGAGAUUGGUGUGAGAGCAAAAGAGUGUUCUAAAAUUUUAACUCUGUCUUUGCAAGAUAGGAUUCACGGUGCUGUCCAUCAAUAGAACACUUUCUACAUCUUGCUGUCCUUUAAUUUUUACAGCUGUUCAACAAAUAACCAGAUAAACAACAGACAAUGAAUCACAUGGGAUUUUACAAGUCUGUGCUAUGAUUUUCAUCACGGUCAAAGUGCAAGCAAUUCUGCUUCCAGCAAAAAAAAAACGAUACUGUAUCUACAUUAACAGACCACCAUUGGCAAAUACAGAUUCUACUGUUUCUUGAUAUGAUGCAGUGGAUGUAUUCACAGCAUCGGCAAUAAGGUGUGUCAACAUGGAAUCUAGAAAUCCCAAACUUGUGGCCUAGUGGGAUCUGGUGAAGCCCAGAUUUACGGAGGAGCUUGUAGGUUGAAGACCCCAAAGUUUGUACUUCUUCCCUGUUCCCAUGGGAAUCCUCCCUGAGGGAAUCCGAGGUGAGCAGUUUCAGACUGACAAGGGACCCUCGGGAGAAUGACAAUCGUAGUUAGAUAGUCUCCCCAAUUUUAUCAAGAGACCCUUUCCCAAGAAGAUCCACACCAGGCGAGGACUAUUCUUCAGUAUCCACUAUAAGCACCCCACUCUCUUAGACCCUAGCCUUUUGCUAGCAUUCCUUUCCUAUGCUUGAUUGUAUUCAGUCAGGGAAUUCCUUUUAGCUAUAGCAAUGUCACUCAUCUUUCCAUGCUCCUAGAUUUCCCCCAUGUUGUAGAGAGGAUCCCCAAAUACUUUUCCUCCUUGUAAAGGAGAUCUGAGUUGGAAAUUGCCCAAGCCUUGAGAUAUUCAGUCAAGGGAAAUGCUAAGCCACAGACAGAUAAAUCUUUGGGACCUGUCCAAGGUCCCAACUACUAACAGAUAAACUUCAGGACGAAGGUCCCAGGUGCAAAAUAACUCGGAAACUUUCCAACAAGAGCAUGCAACAGAUAAUGGCCUGGAAUGAGGAAGGGAGGGGGGUUAUUCAUGCUGAAAAGUAUUUAAGACUGAAUCUUCAGGAGGGAACUCAGAACUCUUUUGGCUGAGUUCCCAGUAGUGCGCAUUAGUUCAAUAAAAGGCCCUUUCUUUGCCUGAUUGCGUUGUCC
rnacentral:lncRNA from 1 species